GGGGCCCUUGGAGGCGCGCGCACCCCCUUUAGCACCGGGACCUCCGCGCGGCGCCAGCUCGGGCAGGCCUCCCCGGAGUGGGACGGCCCUUGCGUUUCCAAGUUCUCCAUCCCCUCCUGUGUGCACUGGGUGUGGCGGAGGAGAAAAGGGAGGGAGGCUUCCCGCACCGGCCCCCAGCACCGUGCGGCCGGGGCGCGGGGGCUUGAGUGCGCUGCGGCUGGGCCCACCCUGGGGCAGCUCGGGGCCGGAGGGGGCAGCCCCAAAACUUUGCCAGGCCCCACCUGGCUGCCGCCCGGCGCGCACGGCCUGACAGUGGGCGGGGGGCGGGAAGGAACUCGCGCAUCCCAGGCGAAAACGGGGACCCGAUCUAGGGAGACCCGGCGGGCGGGCAGCAGCGCGCGUGUAACCCACAUGUUAUUUACAGACGGAGAAAGGGCAGGGCCGCGUGUCGGAGAAGCCGGAGCUUUGCGGGCAGCUCCCGGCGCCAUUCUCCAAGAAUGCUGACCUCCUCCGCCGGGGCUGCAGGUUCCCCUGCUUCUGCUUCUUGCUUUCCACCCCAGCCCCCUGCCCCACGGUCCGCAGGACACAGACCUUCCUAUCUGAGCUGCACGGCCGGGCCACAGGGUCUGCUUUGCGCUCCCCUGAGAAGUUCAGGGGAAGGGCGCACGGAAGGACCCGACUCCUCGCUCGGACCUCUGCGGGGUGGCAGGUUACCCGCCUCUGUUCCCACUGCAGAUAUCUGUGUCGGGGUGUCCGGGGAGUUCCGCCUCCCCGGAGCGGGUCAAACCCUGUGCUUGCCUUCGUUCCGCGAUUCGCGACUUAGGAGGGAUGAGCAGCCGCUUCCCGCGAGCGCGGGGAGGAGGAGGCCGAGCCGGCGGCGCACGGCGCUCCCGGGGGCUCCUGCUGCGGGAAGGCCGCCGCGCGCUCCGGGGUGCGGCCGAGCCGUGCGCCCCGGCGGCGGAGCUGCAAUUCUGCACGGGGCCCCCUCGGAGGAGGUGCGGACACCUCUGGAAAGCAUCGACAGGCUUCCCGCUCCCGCGCGAGCACCUGCUAACUUAGCCCAGCAAGGGAAGCGCCCUGGAAGCAGAGAAGCUGACUGCCUCCGCCUGCACACCCCACCGGGGACUGAGCCCCGGACCUCAGCCCCUGCCUAUGUGCUCAGGGAUUUGGACCCUGGGGCCCUCACCAGGGGAUUAAACUGUGUGCUAAGAGCGCAUUUACGCAUUUACACAGCAGCGAAAGUUUGUUUCUCUUUUUCCGGUAGCUUUGUUUUAAGGAACCAGAUGUUUUGUCUGUAAAUUCUCCCAAGAACUUUUACAGUUUUGACGUGAAAUAAACCUUUGAAAAUCG